rnacentral:lncRNA from 1 species
UUAGCUUUUCCACCUAAAAUCACAACAAAAAGAACAAAAGAAUCAAUUACACAAAUCAAAAAUUAAAAUCUUUAAUCAAUUUUAACAGAUCUCUAAUUUAGGGUUCUUCACAUAAUAAAUCGAUUUCAGAAAAUCUUAAAGAAAAACAAUAAUUAAAUAACUUGAUGUGUAAAAGAAUGAAUAGAAUUUGAUGAAUGAAUGGAAGAUUGAAGGUUACCUUGCUUGGUCGACAUGGUUGCGAUGAAGAGUUAGGGUUUCGGUCUGAAUACAAAAACGACAAUGAAAAUAACAGCAAACGACAAUGAAAGACCUUACCCUCACUAAAUUAUUUUCUCGUGUAUUCGCUUCUAUUUAUAUAGCUAAACGACGAACCUCAACCACCGUUUUCUAUAAGCUACAUAUUUUAAGGAUUUUUUU